rnacentral:rRNA from 1 species
GACGGAAGGUGCAAGCGUUGCUCGGAAUCACUGGGCGUAAAGGGUGCGUAGGCGGCCGUGCAAGUCUGGCGUGAAAGCCCCGGGCUCAGCCCGGGAAGUGCGCUCGAAACUGCGCGGCUCGAGUGCCGGAGGGGAGAGUGGAAUUCCUGGUGUAGCGGUGAAAUGCGCAGAUAUCAGGAGGAACACCAAUAGCGAAGGCAGCUCGCUGGGACGUUACUGACACUGAGGCGCGAAAGCGUGGGGAGCGAACAGG